UGGGGAAUAUUGCACAAUGGGCGCAAGCCUGAUGCAGCCAUGCCGCGUGUGUGAAGAAGGCCUUCGGGUUGUAAAGCACUUUCAUCGGGGAGGAAGGCGGUGAGGUUAAUAACCUCACCGAUUGACGUUACCCGCAGAAGAAGCACCGGCUAACUCCGUGCCAGCAGCCGCGGUAAUACGGAGGGUGCAAGCGUUAAUCGGAAUUACUGGGCGUAAAGCGCACGCAGGCGGUCUGUCAAGUCGGAUGUGAAAUCCCCGGGCUCAACCUGGGAACUGCAUUCGAAACUGGCAGGCUAGAGUCUUGUAGAGGGGGGUAGAAUUCCAGGUGUAGCGGUGAAAUGCGUAGAGAUCUGGAGGAAUACCGGUGGCGAAGGCGGCCCCCUGGACAAAGACUGACGCUCAGGUGCGAAAGCGUGGGGAGCAAACAGG
rnacentral:rRNA from 1 species